CUUUGCUGGAGUUUUGUAAGUGAGCCCAGGAUAGGGGUGGAAAGGUUGCUCUGUGGUGUUUUGCUUGGCCGCUGUGCUACAGUUCGUGUAUCAGGAUGUAUUUGGGCAUCGUCCCUCAGCCACAGCUCUGCCUGCUGAGGAGGACACCCACUUGUCAGUGCCCUGAGCUGAAGAUGAUCUCUUGGAUUUUAAACAAAGGCUCAAGUUCUUUAAGACUGAAUGGGAAACUCUGUCAUGUCCUUUUAACAGAACAGAGGAUUUUAAUCUCUUCUGUGGAAUGGCUCCAAAGAUCUCAAAAACUUGGCUUCAGCAAGACUUUUGACACUGACUCCCAUAGCAUCCUUGUAGAACCCAAAGAAAACUAACUGGAAUACCUCAAAAUAUCCUGCAGAAAGUCUCUUAGUUGUGAAUGUACAUGCCUGAAUAAGAACACGGCCCACUCCCUUCUCAUGGCAACAUGGGUUGUCGUAGAAGAAAUAUCUUGGGAUAUGGUACUACAAAAACUGUUGGAAGAAAUUAGUAGAGCAGAAAAAGAACUCGCAAGCCCCACAACAGUGACAAGAUAGCAGUGGUGGAAGCAGGUCCUGCAUGGGAGCAAGAAGACUAUUUAAUUCCAUUGUUCUUGCAGUGUCUCUUGUUUACUGUCUUUGAAUAUUCAAAUGUGUGCAUUGAUGGGGACUUUCAGUUGAUAUGGAGAUCAAGUAAUUUUGUUUGCUGGGAAUACUAGCAGCUCUCAUAAUAGUCAGCAGGGCAAACCCAAGGAGAUGGUCAAAGUGAUGGACUGCAAGCUGAAACUAAAAGGCUGUGGGGUAGGAAUCAUAUUACCUCAAGAAAAUGGAGCAGAAUGGAUGGAGGGACGCUGAUUGCCAAGGUGUUCUGGAAAACAUUAUGUACAAGUUCAAACAUUUGGCUAGUAGAUUUCUGUCUAGAAAAUCUUAUUACUGUGUAACCUUGUUUGUGGAGAAUGAAAGGAAUCUGAGAUAAUGUAGAUCUAGUGCCUUACUUAGUAUCUAUAUUUGCUACUGCCAGUCAAAGGGAUGUCUUACUAGGCUUCUCCUUCUCACAGUGUAUUAGACACUUCAGUUUUUCUGCGGAACCAUUCGUUUUUGAGCCAGCAGCUUGAGGAUGUUUUUGUAACAGAUGCAGUAGUUAGAGCUGAAUAAAAGCAAAUGUGAUGAUUAGUGUGGGAAGAUUCUCUUAAUUUAUGACAGAAUAGAGUGUCUUAGUCUUUUUGCAGCCCAAAGGCCUACAAAUUGUAGGUUAUUUAUUGGUUUUCGUGCCGUCACUUUUCUUUUGCUGACCCUUUGUGGUUUUAAAAAUACUGCCUAGGGCAAACAUUAAGAAUUUAAACUUCUAUUACCCUAGCAGAACAGUGUCUCGGCAGCAGUGGCUAAAAAAGCACCUGAUUUCCAAAGGCUUAAUGGGUUUUCUGUGUUUUUUCAAUCAUUCCAGGAUUGGUAUGGUUAACCAUCAGUGAAGUAACAAUCAUCAUUUCAUUUUACUCAGGUGCAGAUGAGAUGCAUGUACUUGCCUCUCACAGCUGAAAUAGGGGGCUGUCAGCUUAGACAGAUCUCAUUUUAAAUGAUCCAAAAUGCCAGUGGCUGAGUGCCUUACCAUGUUUAUACUAUGCUUUCAGUGUCCAGAGUUUCAUAAAUUUCCUUCACUGAGAUGAAAUUGAAAUAGCAGGAUAAGUAAAGUACAAAUAUAGCUGCCUCUUGGCCUUUUCAGUACACUUAGUGUUGGAAAAAAACAAACUGGGCAGACAUAGUCCUUUUGCUUUGUCACAUGUCUGUCCUGAGUCAUGUUAGCAGUCAGGGGAGUACGUAGGUGGUCCUGUCUUAAUGUUCUAAUCCUGAAAUAAGAAUUGCAAUAUGCUGUUUUUCCUAUAAAUAUCAACCAUUCAAAAUGUGAGGCAUAUUUUCCUUUGUAUAUCACUCACAAAGCCUACUGCUGGCUCAGAUGAUGUUUGUAUCUAUCCCAUUAGAGAACCGAUGUCCUUAUCUUAGACAAAAUGUUGCAACACAUUUUGAGAUCACAUUUGCAAAUAAGUUCCCUUAUUAGGGAAGGAUACUGACUGUUUUUCAGUGCAUAUAGCCUGUAUAGUACUGCUUCAGUGGAACUUGGCUAUAAAGAAUUUCUUGAGGUAAUUUAACUACUACAAGUUGAGCUACAAUGUAAAUUUUCUACUUUGCAACACCAAGUCCUGCUUUCUCUUCUGUAAAACGGUGCCACAGAGAUGCUGAAUCUCUAGAUGAGCCCUUCCAUGGUCUCUGAUAUAAUGGAAGAAUUUUCCGGAAAGCCGAGAUUUUGCAGAGAGGCCCUGUAAUAAACAUUGUCAAUUACAGCUUUUAA